UACGUAGGGUGCAAGCGUUGUCCGGAAUUAUUGGGCGUAAAGAGCUCGUAGGCGGCUUGUCACGUCGGGUGUGAAAGCCCGGGGCUUAACCCCGGUCUGCAUUCGAUACGGGCUGGCUAGAGUGUGGUAGGGGAGAUCGGAAUUCCUGGUGUAGCGGUGAAAUGCGCAGAUAUCAGGAGGAACACCGGUGGCGAAGGCGGAUCUCUGGGCCAUUACUGACGCUGAGGAGCGAAAGCGUGGGGAGCGAACAGG
rnacentral:rRNA from 1 species